rnacentral:rRNA from 1 species
UACGUAGGGGGCGAGCGUUGUCCGGAGUUACUGGGCGUAAAGGGCGCGCAGGCGGUCUGGUAAGUUUGGAGUGACAGUGCUCGGCUUAACUGAGCAAGGCCUUCGAAAACUGCUAGACUUGAGCACUCAAGAGGGACAUAGAAUUCCGGGUGGAGUGGUGAAAUGCGUAGAUAUCCGGAGGAAUACCAAAGGCGAAGGCAGUGUCCAUGGGGAGUGUCUGACGCCUCAGGCGCGAAAGCUAGGGGAGCGAACAGG